rnacentral:rRNA from 1 species
GAUGAACGCUGGCGGCGUGCCUAAUACAUGCAAAUCGAGCGAACGGACGAGAAGCCUGCUUCUCUGAUGUUAGCGGCGGACGGGUGAGUAACACGUGGAUAACCUACCUAUAAGACUGGGAUAACUUCGGGAAACCGGAGCUAAUACCGGAUAAUAUUUUGAACCGCAUGGUUCAAAAGUGAAAGACGGUCUUGCUGUCACUUAUAGAUGGAUCCGCGCUGCAUUAGCUAGUUGGUAAGGUAACGGCUUACCAAGGCAACGAUGCAUAGCCGACCUGAGAGGGUGAUCGGCCACACUGGAACGGAGACACGGUCCAGACUCCUACGGGAGGCAGCAGUAGGGAAUCUUCCGCAAUGGGCGAAAGCCUGACGGAGCAACGCCGCGUGAGUGAUGAAGGUCUUCGGAUCGUAAAACUCUGUUAUUAGGGAAGAACAUAUGUGUAAGUAACUGUGCACAUCUUGACGGUACCUAAUCAGAAAGCCACGGCUAACUACGUG